GUCAUUACCACAAUCUCGAUACGGCGGGGAAAUUUCGGUCUAGAGGCAGUGAAGGCCAUAACAUGAAAUUAGUGGUGCAAGGAAGAAUGUGUAUAUAUAUAACCACGACUACGGGCCAUAUAAAUCAUAGUCAUGACCAUGAUUGUUUCUAGUUUACUAAUAUAGGGUUUCGGAUUUUAGGUUUAAGAGUUUAGGGUUUCUUAAGCAUAGUUGGUUUCAUUUCUUUAAUCAGACAUAAGUGUGCGUAAUUUGUCUCUAUGAACUAUGCAGUGUGUACAACUACAGGCCAUAUGAAUCAAGGUCAUGACCAUGAUUGUUCCUAGUUUACUAAUAUAGGGUUUAGGAUUUUAGGUUUAAGGGUUUAGGGUUUUUAAAGCAUAGAUAGUUUCAUUUCCUUAGUUAGACACAAGUGUGUAUAAUUUGUCUCAAUGACAUUUACAAUGUGCACAUAACCACAGAGUACAAGCCAUAUUAAUCAUAGUCAUGACCAUGAUUGUUCCUAAUUUACACAUAGAAAAUUUGACAUAUAGAGUUUAGGGUUUUAGGGUUUAGGGUUCUUUCGGUACGGUUAGCUUCAUUUGCUUGAUUAGACACAAGUGUGCGUAAAUUUGUCUCUACGACAUUUGCCGUUCCCUUUUCUGAGGAUUGUAAGUUUCGAUUGAUCUCGUUUUCAUAAUGCAUACACCCAUAAAUUUGUGUAAUUUUGACUUAAACCGUAAUUAAUCACUUUUAUUUCAACCCUUGAAGAA